UUAAUACCACUUUCCUUACUGAUUUUCAUGGAACUCACCUCAAUCCAUUCCCCCCUAGAUGAUGUAGAUGAAGUUGAUCUGCCCUUUGAGGCUUGCUUGGAUCCAUUUGCAAAUCAGUCAAAGAUGAGUGCAUUGAGAGCGUUGUACUCAACGAGGAUAUUAUUUUAUAUUUUGUAGGACUAGCUUGAACAAUGAUUUG
rnacentral:lncRNA from 1 species